GCCUUCGUGGUGUAAUUGCAGCACAUUCGAGUAUUCGAGAGGCCCAGGUUCGACUCCCGGCUAGGGCA
rnacentral:tRNA from 1 species